CCACAUGCCAAGCGACCAGAUAAAAAAACUCUCUCACACAAAUCUCACCCCGGCCGUACCCCUGGCUCUCGGUCGAACUCCUCUCCCCCACGAUCUCGUCGCCGCUGCUACCACCCAUGCCGGCCGGUUCCGGCGAUCUCCGGCCGCACGCAACAUGCCCCCAAGCUCCGCCCCGCCCUCCCCUCCGUCCAGAUCCAUGCCUCAAGGUCAACACCCUUGCUCGCGGCUAGGGAUUCGGGCGCCCCCGUGUUCUUGCCGCCGAGUGCCCAGGUCGGCCCGCUGGCCAACGAGCAGCACCCCGCACCUGCACGUGCCCAGGCCGACGAGCAGUACGGGGAUUGGCCGCGGACGGAGACGAGUGCAGGCGCGGCAGCAGGAGAAUCUGUGGCGGCAACGGAUCUGGUGACCGCCGGGCCGGCUCGUCGUUCGUGGCCGGCCGGUGUCGCAGUGAGGCGCUGCCGUCCGUGGAUUCCGGUGGCUGGCUGACGGCCAAUUGCUCUUGGACGCCGCUGCAGCUGCUCGUUUCUGAAUUUUCAGUAAUGCGGCUAGCAGUCCGCGCGAUUGUGAUUCUCGUGUCGCUGAUAGCUUGGAGCAGUCGGUUCCGGUCCGUCUACUACUCGUGACUGGGAAGGAAGCAUCAUGUCGCUGAUAGUUCAGGUAUAAAACUUGUAUCUUCUCAUAUAGCAUUAUUUCUAACGGCAAGUGUAUUUUGGUCUACAAUAUAUCAAUCCACAGAAAGGAUGUUAUGCGAUUCAGCUUCCCAGUAAGGCCUUACUGCAAAAAAAAUACCAACUACAAUGCUGCAGUCCUAUAGUUUUAUCCAUCAAAAACUUUGUUUCUAUGGUUACUAUUUUUAUUAUUUCAACGACUGGUAGUGAAGUUAAGGCGAGCAUUGGAACAUUUUGAUAGCUUAGUCUUUUUGGAUGGUCCUCUAUCUGUAUAGCAUUACAAGCAACAGCCACUUAGCCAUGAGAGUCUUUCUAGAUGGUACUCUAUCUACAUACUCUUACAAGAAACAACCAACGAGUUAUGGUAUAUAUUUCCAUUCUCAAAAUAACUAUCUUUGAUGCUGCUGAAUAUUUAGCUUUCAAAAUGAUUUUACUGAAUAUGUAAGAUCCUAUGCCUAUAAUUUUACCUUUUCACUCUUAAUUUUUGCAACAGUAUGAUACUCUAUGUAGUUCCUCAAGAUAUUGUUCUUUAUUAGGAGGAAUCAAGGAUUAAAUUUACUGGAAUAGUCUAUUUUACACACACGCACACACAUUAUUACUUAAUACAUCCAUGUGAGAUAAAAAAACGUACUAAUAUUUAUAUUUUUGAUAUAAUAUAAGUGCACCUGCUCAUACUUUUCAAUAAAAUCAGUACAUUGCUUUGAAAAAAGAAACUCCUCAUUUCCUUCCAAUUUAAGACCGCACUGGAGAAUAUACAUAACACAUCUAUUUGAUUGGUGUUACAAAUUUGCAAGUGCAGCAGCUUAACUGUCACUAAUAUAUGAAAUGUUGCUCUAAGUCUCUUAUGUCACAUGAAUGAAUGUUAUUACAAAAUUUCCUUAUAAUUAUAGUAAUAAAUGGGAAGUUGUCAUGUCGACUAUAAUGACCAGUGAUAUUUAUAAUGACCAAGUGCUGUUACUGCUGCUGAUUACUAGUAAUACAACUAUAAUACAUCUGCAACCAAGAGUUGAGUUGAAAUGACCUGACAAUAAAGGGUACAAUGUUGGUAAUAAUCUGCUAUUGCUGAUGCCUUCUUGCUUGCUUGCUUGCGAAUGACCUGGGAAUUACUCCUACUUGGUGCAUAAACUUUGCUUGUUGCAAUUUGCCUCAAAAGCUUGGAUUCAGAAUCUAUAAUAAGAUUUGGUCAUGCCUAGCAUUGUAUCCUUCUUAAGUUGGGUUUUCCCCAAUUUCUAGGAUUGGUCUGUUAGGUACUGUUUAUAAUUCAUAUAUACUAUGCUGCUGCUAUAUGCUUUUGUUUAUGCUAUUGUUACUUAGUGCUCUAUAGGUUACUGUUAUACUGCACUAAUGCUCCAGGUUCUUUUGAGUUCCUAGUAGUGGUCUUGGUUCAUUGUUUAAUUCCAGGAUUUGUGAGUUCCUAGUAGGGAACACAUGGACAUGAAGCUACGACGGCGACGAAGACGAUAUCGACAUGGGGCUGCGGCGACGAUGAUGGCGACGACAUCGACAUCGACAUCGACACAGGCUACGGCGGCGACGAAGACGACGACAUCGUCAUCGCGCUGUGGCGGCGGCGACGAUGACGACAUCAACACCAUCAACACGGCCUUGUGGAGGCGCCGACGCCGACGACAUCAACACGGCCUUGUGGAGGCGCCGACGUCGACGACAUAGACGCGUGGCAUAUAUUGUGUGCGUGUGCGUGUGUUAAUUAUCUACAUCAGAUAUGUAUGAUUGAUGAUUGACUGUAUGCAUAACAUGUAUGUAUUGUGAAAUGCAUGCCUAAACUGAAAUAGAUAGACUUUUAUUUUUUUAAA